GGCAAGGUGGCCGAGCGGUUAAGGCGUGUGACUCAAGAGAAUUAGGCCUGGCCUAGUAAUCUUACCCUGUAAGGGGUUUCUCAUCACGGUAUCGUGGCGUGGGUUCAAGUCCCACCCUUGUCA
rnacentral:tRNA from 1 species